rnacentral:rRNA from 1 species
UACAGAGGAUGCAAGCGUUAUCCGGAAUGAUUGGGCGUAAAGCGUCUGUAGGUGGCUUUUAAGUCCGCCGUCAAAUCCCAGGGCUCAACUCUGGACAGGCGGUGGAAACUACCAAGCUGGAGUACGGUAGGGCAGAGGGAAUUUCCGGUGGAGCGGUGAAAUGCGUAGAGAUCGGAAAGAACACCAACGGCGAAGGCAGCUCUCUGGUACGUGACUGACGCUGAUGCGCGAAAGCCAGGGAGCGAACGGG